CGCGAUCGCCGCGCCACGCCGGCGGCGGCCUGGAAUGCGCGCCAGAGCGCACCAGUUUUCCGGUGGAACCGGCGGCCUGGAAUCAGCGGCUUACCUCCGGCUUGACUGCUUAAGAGGUCGGCUGGAUCCUUCUGGUCUCGCUCUCUCGCAGCGAGGUAAGCCGUGGGCCGCCGCGGGAAACGGCGGCGGGGGAACAUGCCGGCCGGCGACCGGGGCCCGUGCGGGUGCUGAGAGCAAUGCCGAAGCGCUGUCUGUUGAGUCGCCGGAGAUGGACAUCAAGAACCUGCGAACUAACGUGAAAAUGCUCUUCAGAUGGACAGUAACGUAGCAAGUCUCAAGGAAACAACAUUCUGCCAAUUAAAGAUACUCAAACGUUGGACACGGAAACCGGAGAAUUUAUUUUUUUUGGACAGAGGGAGUAGCUAAAUACAGCACGGGCUCGAAGACACUGUAUGUGUAUAACAUAUGAGACCAUGUAUUAAUAUUUUGUAGGUAACUAUUGUAUGAAUUGGUUAUUAGAUUGACGAGUUAUUAGUUGGCUAUACUAUUUAACUUUGAACUUGCUCUAAUAAUAGUCUCAGCCCUCUUUCGUCGAGAAAUUUUUGUUUUAAUUAGGAAUACUAUG